rnacentral:lncRNA from 10 species
AGUCCCCGCGCGAUUGCAGCGCGCGCCCGGGACCCCUUCCCGCAGCCGCCUCCCCCUUGCUGCGCGACCCCCAGCACUUACCUGCUUUGCAAACCGGGGCGCUGGGGCUCCUCUUCUCCGGCGAGCUUCGGCUCUGCUCCGGAGACCUCCUCCGAUGCCGGACGCGGGCUGGGGGUGGGGCCGCGCUCACCUCGCCGGUCCACAGGUGGGUGGGCGACGAGCUGGGCGACGACACGGUGCCCAGCAGCGGCGGCGGCGGCGGCGGCCGUGGGGGGCUCCCGCGAGCUCCAGGCGCGGCGCUGCGCGUGGGGCUGGUGCCUCGCGUGGACGUCGCGGACGCGCCCGUCUGCGUGGCCACCGUGGGGCUGGUGCGCGCGGCCGCGUUCCCGCCGCCGCGCGUGGGGCUGGUGCUGCGCGAGGCGGUGCGCGGGCCACCGCCGCCGCCGCCGCCUGCGGGGCCUGAGGCGCCACCACAGCAGCCACCGUUGUUGUUGCCGCCGCCGCCGCCGCCGCUCCGCGUGGGGCUGCCAUGUUGCUGCUGCUGCUGCUGCUUCAGCUGGAACGGAACCGUCGCCCUCAUGGGCUGCAAGCGGCUCCCGGGUCCCCCGGCCGUGGCCACCGCACCACCCCCAAGGGAGCCGGCCGGCGUGGGGGACCCAUUGCGCCUCACCCGCUGGGACAUGGUCCCCCCCCUCCCCGGUGACUGGGCGAGACGGGGGGUUUUGUUGUUGUUGGGCUGCAGGGGGAGGAUUCUCGAGGCCGGAGGGCAGGCC